CGGAUAUGGAUUUAAAGUCAGGUCUCUUGGAAGUGGAUGGAAGGUGAGAAUAUUGGCUCUAAACUGAUUUCUAUUGGUAGAAAAGGCUAAAUUUUAGUUGAGAUGGUGUCGCCAGGUUUAUGUGGAUUGGGGUGACGUAGGAUCACCCAAGGAUGUAUGUUGGCAGUGUGCAUUCAGUUAUUUGAGGACCUUGAGGAGAAACUUAGCACGUUCGAGGACGAACGUUUGUUUUAAGAGGGGGAGAAUGUAACGAC
rnacentral:lncRNA from 1 species